rnacentral:rRNA from 1 species
CUUCGGUGUCCGAGUUGUAAUUUGAAGAUUGUAACCUUGGGGUUGGCUCUUGUCUAUGUUUCUUGGAACAGGACGUCACAGAGGGUGAGAAUCCCGUGCGAUGAGAUGCCCAAUCCUAUGUAAGGUGCUUUCGAAGAGUCGAGUUGUUUGGGAAUGCAGCUCUAAGUGGGUGGUAAAUUCCAUCUAAAGCUAAAUAUUGGCGAGAGACCGAUAGCGAACAAGUACAGUGAUGGAAAGAUGAAAAGAACUUUGAAAAGAGAGUGAAAAAGUACGUGAAAUUGUUGAAAGGGAAGGGUUUGAGAUCAGACUCGAUAUUUUGUGAGCCUUGCCUUCGUGGCGGGGUGACCCGCAGCUUAUCGGGCCAGCAUCGGUUUGGGCGGUAGGAUAAUGGCGUAGGAAUGUGACUUUGCUUCGGUGAAGUGUUAUAGCCUGCGUUGAUGCUGCCUGCCUAGACC